GACGAACGCUGGCGGCGUGCUUAACACAUGCAAGUCGAACGGACCCUGUGGGGCUUGCUCUGCAGGGUUAGUGGCGAACGGGUGCGUAACACGUGAGGAAUCUGUCCUUCGGCGGGGGAUAGCCGGCCCAACGGCCGGGUAAUACCGCGUACGCUCGUUCCGGGGCAUCCCGGGACGCGGAAAGCCGCAAGGCGCCGAUGGAGGAUCUCGCGGCCUAUCAGCUAGUUGGCGGGGUAAUGGCCCACCAAGGCGACGACGGGUAGCUGGUCUGAGAGGAUGGCCAGCCACAUUGGGACUGAGACACGGCCCAGACUCCUACGGGAGGCAGCAGUGGGGAAUCUUGCGCAAUGGGCGAAAGCCUGACGCAGCGACGCCGCGUGUGGGAUGACGGCCUUCGGGUUGUAAACCACUGUCGGGAGGGACGAAGCUCUGACGGUACCUCCAAAGGAAGCACCGGCUAACUCUGUGCCAGCAGCCGCGGUAAUACAGAGGGUGCGAGCGUUGUCCGGAAUCACUGGGCGUAAAGGGCGCGUAGGCGGCCUGGUAAGUAGGGGGUGAAAUCCUGCGGCUCAACCGCAGGGCUGCCUUCUAAACUGUCAGGCUGGAGCACGGUAGAGGCAGAUGGAAUUCCCGGU
rnacentral:rRNA from 1 species